rnacentral:tRNA from 1 species
AGUGCGUUGGCAGAAUAGUGCAACUGAUUUAGGAUCAGUUUAUGAUAUAUAAUCACACACUA